UUUCAGACCAGAGCUAUCAACCACUCAGCCAUCUCUCCA
rnacentral:tRNA from 1 species